rnacentral:lncRNA from 1 species
AGAGCAUUGAGGACCCAAAAUUCCAAAAAGUUGUGCCAAAUACGGCUAAGGUAAUCUACUCCUGGGGUAAGAAAAUCCUUAGUUUUUCGAAAAAUUCAAGGUUUUUUAAACAGAACAUUUAUAAAAUGACCAUAUAAUUGAUAUUCAUGUCAACACCGAAGUGCUGACUACUGGGCUGGUGAUACCCUCGGGGACGAAACG